rnacentral:ncRNA from 1 species
CUAUGACUUUUAUAAGUCAUGGCGAAAGGAG